ensembl:lncRNA
UUUUAAGGGUGGACACUUUGCAUUUGAAUAUCCGGAUACACAGACCACUAAACAGGGUGAGCCCAGGAGCCAUCAGCAGUAAGGUGCAUCAGAGGCCCUCGGAGCCGCCACCCCUUCCCCUGUCCUCCCUGGCCUCUCACCCCGCCAUCUGGAGCUCUCACAUGGAGUCAAGCCCCCCUGCACCUGAAGCCCCUGGCCUGGAGAAUGGAGCACCACCUCUAUCCCAUUACUCUACCUGCUGCCAGCACACACACACACACACAGGAAUACUUUCCUCUUGAAAGAAACAAAAAACUCACAACUUCUGGUCCCUGUGACAGCCUGGCCUUGGGAUGCACCCAUAUUGCCUAGAAGCACUUGGCUAAACUCACACACACACACACACACACACACACACACAAACAUAGAGACACACAGAUACACCGAAUUCCUCUAAUGUAUCAGCAAUACCCAGGAAAUAAAAUUCCAGCCCGCGGUAAUUAGGUGGGAGUGAGGCUACAUGGUCACAGACAGAUGCACGUUGCCAUGGAAAGGGGCAAGGGUAGGCUUGUCUCAUCCAUUCGGUUGCUAUGGUGAAGGACAGGCCUCUUUUGCCUCUCAAACUGGAUGUACAUUUCGGACACUGGGCCAGUCAGAGAACACGGAAACACACGGCUAGCUCAGCCGCUAGCACGGACCUCUGUUGGAUGUUAACCAAUGCUGUACAGCUUGGACUACCAGACACAGUAUAUAUCUAUGUAAAAACACAUCAAGCCCCGGCAGUGGGUGUGAACAGAGAUCUAUCUAUAUGUGGGACAUGUCGUGGAGAUUGUUUUCAAUCAGAGAUUUUGGAAGGGUUUUGUUUUUCUUUUUUUCUCUCUUCUUUUUUUGAAAAAAAAAACCCAACAAAAAACAAACAUUAUUUACACAUUCCCUUCUUCGGUGUCAUGUUGAUAUAGUGUAUGGAUGAUAAUGGUGGCAUUUAUUGUGGUUUCUGACAUUUGAAAAAAAAAAAUAAAGUGGAUGGGAGAAGUGUCCCCCUUUCUCUGGAUCUGAGGAGAACCGGUUCCUGUUUCUGUGUCCUCUGAAGAGAGCAAUUUUUUUGUAGUUUUCCUUGUACUUUUUCCUG